rnacentral:rRNA from 1 species
GACGAACGCUGGCGGCGCGCUUAACACAUGCAAGUCGAACGGAAAGGCCUGCUUUCCCUUGUGGAUUGCGGGUACUCGAGUGGCGAACGGGUGAGUAACACGUGAGUGAUCUGCCCCCAACUUGGGUAUAAGCCUGGGAAACUGGGUCUAAUUCCCGAUAGGACUGCAGGGUGGUGCCUGUGGUGGAAAACGAUUUUCUAGUGGUUGGGGAUGAGCUCGCGGCCUAUCAGCUUGUUGGUGGGGGAAUGGCCUACCAAGGCGGCGACGGGUAGCCGGCCUGAGAGGGUGGACGGCCACAUUGGGACUGAGAUACGGCCCAGACUCCUACGGGAGGCAGCAGUGGGGAAUAUUGCACAAUGGGCGGAAGCCUGAUGCAGCGACGCCGCGUGGGGGAUGACGGCCUUCGGGUUGUAAACUCCUUUCGACCGCGAGGAAGCCACCUGGUUGGAAGGGUGGUGACGGUAGUGGUAGAAGAAGCACCGGCUAACUACGUG